CCUACGGGUGGCAGCAGUGGGGAAUAUUGGACAAUGGGCGAAAGCCUGAUCCAGCCAUGCCGCGUGUGUGAAGAAGGCCUUCGGGUUGUAAAGCACUUUCAGUGGGGAAGAAAGCCUUGGGGCUAAUACCCUCGAGGAAGGACAUCACCCACAGAAGAAGCACCGGCUAACUCCGUGCCAGCAGCCGCGGUAAUACGGAGGGUGCGAGCGUUAAUCGGAAUUACUGGGCGUAAAGCGCGCGUAGGCGGUCUGAUAAGCCAGUUGUGAAAGCCCCGGGCUCAACCUGGGAACGGCAUCCGGAACUGUCAGGCUAGAGUGCAGGAGAGGAAGGUAGAAUUCCCGGUGUAGCGGUGAAAUGCGUAGAGAUCGGGAGGAAUACCAGUGGCGAAGGCGGCCUUCUGGACUGACACUGACGCUGAGGUGCGAAAGCGUGGGUAGCAAACAGGAUUAGAUACCCGAGUAGUC
rnacentral:rRNA from 1 species